rnacentral:rRNA from 1 species
GGACUACUCGGGUUUCUAAUCCCAUUCGCUCCCCUGGCUUUCGUUCCUCAGCGUCAGUUACGGCCCAGCAAGUCGCCUACGCCACUGGUGUUCUUCCCAAUAUCUACGCAUUUCACCGCUACACUGGGAAUUCCACUUGCCUCUACCGCACUCCAGUCUGCCAGUAUCCAGUGCACUCCCGAGGUUGAGCCCCGAUCUUUAACACCAGACUUAACAAACCGCCUACGAACUCUUUACGCCCAAUAAAUCCGGACAACGCUUGCAUCCUACGUCUUACCGCGGCGGCUGGCAC